UACGUAGGGUGCAAGCGUUGUCCGGAAUUAUUGGGCGUAAAGAGCUCGUAGGCGGCUUGUUGCGUCGAUCGUGAAAACCCGCGGCUUAACCGUGGGCUUGCGGUCGAUACGGGCGGGCUGGAGUUCGGUAGGGGAGACUGGAAUUCCUGGUGUAGCGGUGAAAUGCGCAGAUAUCAGGAGGAACACCGGUGGCGAAGGCGGGUCUCUGGGCCGAUACUGACGCUGAGGAGCGAAAGCGUGGGGAGCGAACAGG
rnacentral:rRNA from 1 species